GUAAAGACAAUGAUGAGGAAUAGUAGAUUUGACGUUCUUUGUAGAGAGCUAGCGGUUGGUGAAAGCUAGUAGGAACGCAAGUUGAACUCGCCUACUGAGUCUGCAAGCAAGUUGCCGUUUAUUUCCGCGUUAAGGAAAUUUGAGCCGAGUGUGAUCACUAAUUUGGGUGGUACCGCGGGAGAUGCGUAUUCUCUCGUCCCUUUA
rnacentral:ncRNA from 1 species